GAUAAGCGCCGCCCCCUCUCAUCUCUUUAACUUCCACCAUAAUAUUCACCCUUCCUUGCUUCAAUCACAAUCACCGCCACCUUCAUCUCUCCCUCUCAACCUCUCUCUCUUUCUCUCUCUCACCUAACUCGUAAAUCAAAUCUGAAAUCAAAACCCUAAUCUCUAAAUACAAAACCCCAAUCUCUAAAAACACCACUUGGAUGUCUUCGUGUUUGUUUGUGGUCCUCUGAUUCUUUUAUUUUAUUCCUUAUUUUCUCUUUGAUGCUUAUGAUAUCUUUACCUUUAUCCUUGAUAGGUUACAAAUGGUUGCUUUUAUCUUCUCUGGAUACUUGUUAUUGAUAUUGGUGGUCUUGCCUUCCUUUUGGGUGUUGCGGUGAUGAACUGAUUUGAAGCGAUGAGAGGGGGUGAUUCAACUACUUGAAUGAAAUGAAGACAUCAUAUGGCAGUUACAAGUGAGUGUGAAAGGCUUUGGUCAAUAUUUAGUAGAAAAGAUCAGGCGCUGCAGGUUAUAGAGAACGAUUCCAAAAAGGAUCUUGUUGAAACAAAUAACCAA